ensembl:lncRNA
CACAGACCUAGGGAAAUGGGUUCUUCUUAAUCUGGACCCAAGUUUCUCUUCUAGAGGUUCUGAAUAGUUAGCUUUGGCCACUAUUCAUUAGCAUUAGCUGUUAGCAGAGCAGAUUUAUAAAUAGUUUGAGGGGCCUGUUUGUUUCAUCUGUCUGACAUUCGACACCGACCGUCUGUUGAAUAGCGGGCUCCAUGUAAUAGCUGAAGCCCCCCAGCAACAGUCACCAGUUUCCGAAAAGUAGAUUUCUCCUAGACCCUUCUUCUAAACAGGAAUCUGACAAGGCGCUCCGAGCCCUUAGAGGGGAUGUAUGGACGGAGGACUGGGUUGAAACAGCAUGUUGAGUAGACAGGCACAGAGCGGUCGGUCAGUAAGCUAUCUGAGAGGGCUCUGUUAAGACAACAAAAGGCCUGUCUUCCUGCAGCUGCUGGCUUGACACAGACUGCUGGUUCUUCUCAGGACAGACUUGUAUUUGAGGAUUUACUAUAAGAUCACUUUAAAAUUAUGGAAUACAACAGCUGAAGGUCACACAGAAAGCUGCGACUCCUGUUGCACAGAUGCAAUGCAUCUUAUGGGCCUCCGGGAUUACAACUACGUUUUUGGGGCCGCAGCAGCAACUCCACAGACACUGACAGGGGCCCUCGGGGAGUCAAAGCACAGUCCAAGCUAAAUACCGUGGGAGUGGCUGUGCACAAGACAUGAGUUGUUUCUGACUGAGUGAGUGAGUGAGCGAGUGUGUGGGAGUGUGUGUGUAGUGUGUGUGUGUGUGUGUGUGUGUGACUGAGCUGUACACAUGACGACGGUGGAGAAGCGCCACUCCAGCCGAAAGGGCCGGGGCCACAGGAAGCACAGCAGCGGCGGCUUGAGCGACACAUCCAGUGGAGGGUCCUUCCUGGACGACACGGACCGGGAGGUGAGCAGCCUGACGGACCGGGCCUUCAGGAGCCUCUGCAUCGGGGAAGAAGCCGUCUACAACGACUCUGACUUGGGCUCCUCGCCAUCCGCCCUGAAGGAGAGGCACCAGGCCUUCAGCCAGGAGAUCAUAGUCGCUCCGGACAGCCAGGUCAGGGAGAAGCGGGACAGGGACCCCGUCAAGGGAGCCGCACAGCGGAGCUUCAGCCUCCAGCGUUGUGGCCUGGGGGGGGGUGAGGCCGGGUGGGAGAGGGAGCAGGAGGGGAGGUCGUGGGCGGGACAGUACAGGGUAGGGACUCAGGGUUAUUC